GACGAACGCUGGCGGCGUGCUUAACACAUGCAAGUCGAACGGAAAGGCCCUGCUAUUGUGCGCUUCUCGAGUGGCGAACGGGGGAGUAACACGUAAGUAACCUGCCCUUGUCUUUGGGGUAACUUCAGGAAACUGGGGCUACUACCGGAUAGCAGCUCCUCCUCCAUGGUGGGCAUUGGAACGUUUCGGCGGGUGGGGAUGGACUCGCGGCUUAUCAGCUUGUUGGUGGGGUAGUGGCUUACCAAGGCAUUGACGGGUACCCGGCCUGUGAGGGUGACCGGCCACAUUGGGCCUGAGAUACGGCGCAGACUCGAACGGGAGGCAGCAGGGGGGAGUAUGGUACAACGGUAGGGCGUGUGAGGAAGCAACGCUGGGUGCGGGAUGCCGGCUUUCGGGGUGUAAACCGCUGUAGCCUGUGACGAAGCGUGUGUGACGGUAAUGGGUAAAGAAGCACCGGCUAACUACGUG
rnacentral:rRNA from 1 species